UACGGGGGGAGCAAGCGUUGUUCGGAUUUACUGGGCGUAAAGGGCGCGUAGGCGGCCACCGCAAGUCGACUGUGAAAUCUCCGGGCUUAACCCGGAAAGGUCAGCCGAUACUGCGGGGCUAGAGUGCAGAAGGGGCAACUGGAAUUCUCGGUGUAGCGGUGAAAUGCGUAGAUAUCGAGAGGAACACCUGCGGCGAAGGCGGGUUGCUGGGCUGACACUGACGCUGAGGCGCGAAAGCGCGGGGAGCGAACGGG
rnacentral:rRNA from 1 species